CCUACAGUCACUACAAGGGCGCCAACCGU
rnacentral:sRNA from 1 species